AUUGAACGCUGGCGGUUAUGCCUUACACAUGCAAGUCGAACGGCAGCACGGGGGCAACCCUGGUGGCGAGUGGCGAACGGGUGAGCAAUACAUCGGAACGUGUCCUGUAGUGGGGGAUAGCCCAGCUAAAGCCGGAUUAAUACCGCAUACGCUCUACGGAGGAAAGGGGGGGAUCUUAGGACCUCCCGCUACAGGGGCGGCCGAUGGCAGAUUAGCUAGUUGGUGGGGUAAAGGCCUACCAAGGCGACGAUCUGUAGCUGGUCUGAGAGGACGACCAGCCACACUGGGACUGAGACACGGCCCAGACUCCUACGGGAGGCAGCAGUGGGGAAUUUUGGACAAUGGGGGCAACCCUGAUCCAGCAAUGCCGCGUGUGUGAAGAAGGCCUUCGGGUUGUAAAGCACUUUUGUCCGGAAAGAAAACGCCGUGGUUAAUACCCGUGGCGGAUGACGGUACCGGAAGAAUAAGCACCGGCUAACUAC
rnacentral:rRNA from 1 species